rnacentral:tRNA from 1 species
GGCGGGGUAGCUCAGAUGGUUAGAGCACAGGAUUCAUAACCCUGAGGUCAGCAGUUCGAUCCUGCUUCCCGCUACGA